UACAGAGGUCCCAAGCGUUACUGAGAAUCACUGGGUUUAAAGGGUGCGUAGGUGGUCCGUUAAGUCAGUUGUGAAAUCCCCGGGCUCAACCCGGGAACUGCUUCUGAUACUGGCGGACUUGAGGCCAGUAGGGGUCACUAGAACUGACGGUGGAGCGGUGAAAUGCGUAGAUAUCGUCAGGAAUGCCGGUGGUGAAGACGGGUCUCUGGGCCGAUACUGACGCUGAGGAGCGAAAGCGUGGGGAGCGAACAGG
rnacentral:rRNA from 1 species